GAAUUUAAUUAUUUAUUAUUUACAUUAAUUUAAGGUUUAGUUAAUAAAAAUAUUUAAUAUUUUAUUAUUUUUACGAAAAAAUAUUUUUAAUUAUAGUUAACAGUAUUGAAAAAGAAAAUAUAAAAAUUUAGUAAAGAAAAAUUUAAAUUUUGUACCUUGUGUAUCAGGGUUAAUUAAAAAUUAUUUUUAAUUAAAAUAUUCUCGAAUUUAAAAGAGCUAAUUAAUUAUUAAUUUUAUUGUAAAAUAAAUAUUUAAAAUAAUUAAUUAGAAAUGAAACGUUAUUCGUUUUUAAAUAUAUCUAGUUUUAAAAGAAAUUAAUUUAAUUUAUUUAUUUAUAGUUAAAAUUUUAUAUUUAUAAAAUUUUAUUAUAAAUAUUAAAUUUUUUUAGGGAUAAGCUUAAAAAAAUAAUUUUAUAAUAUAUUGAAUAUUAAAUAAUUUAUAGGAUUAAAAUUUUCUAUAGUUAAAAAAAUGUUAUAAUUAAUUAUUUUUUAAUUAAUAUUUUUAUAUUUAUUUAAAUUUUUUAUUUUAAUAUAAUUUUAAAUUUAAAAAAAUUAGUAAUAAUGAUUAAAUUAGUAUAAAUAUUUUUAUAUAGUUAAAUUAUUAGAUUAAGGUUAUUUUAAGGAAUUCGGCAAAUUUAUUUUUCACCUGUUUAAUAAAAACAUGUCCUUUUGAUAAUAAUUUAAGGUCUGGUCUGCCCACUGAGGAGUUAAAUGGCCGCGGUAUUUUGACCGUGCAAAGGUAGCAUAAUCAUUAGUUUCUUAAUUAGAAGCUGGAAUGAACGAUUGGAUGAGAAAAUAGCUGUCUCAAUUUAAUUUGAUUAGAAUUUUAUAUUUAAGUAAAAAAGCUUAAAUUUAAUUAAAAGACGAGAAGACCCUAUAGAGUUUGAUUAAAUUAAAAUAUAAAAAUUAUUGUUUAUAUUUUUUUUAUAUUUUGUUUUAAUUUUGUUGGGGUGAUAGAAAAAUUAAUUAAACUUUUUUUGUAUUUAAACAUUAAUAAAUGAUUAUUUGAUCCAAUUUAAAUAUUGAUUAAAAGAAUAAAU
rnacentral:rRNA from 1 species